GAUGGGGUAACAGACACAGAAGUCUCAGGAAUGAACAUGGGGGUGGCUACAAGACUGGCAUGGGGAAACUCCAAUGGUUGGUCUACUGAUUCCAUAAACUACUCUCUAAAAUCUGGCUAAGCAAGGCUUCAAGAAAAGAGAAAGGAGGUAUAUUUCCACAGAGUCUUUAAGACUGCUGUUGAAUUAAUCAUGUUCCAGCAGAAAAGAAGUAGAUACUAUAACGGUUGAAGACAUCCCUAUUCAGGGAGUUUUGUGGUUCUCCAGAAAGAAAAGUUAAUGCUCCUCUCGA